AAGAGCUCCAUCAGCUUGUGGUGGUCCGGGCAGAUGCGCUCCGACAGGUCACCGACAGGUUCGCUCAGCUGGUGGAGACGGAAAAUUGGGUUUUCCCGGUGAGGACGCAGGUGCUCCUCGCAGAAAGAGGCCAUGCAGGUUGAAAGUCUCCACGACGGUGCUCAGGACCGUGUUUUUCUUCAGCUCCGGUUUGGUGGCGAAGUGGGUCCGACACUGAGGACAGCUGUACGUUUCCUUCCAGGAACAGUCACUGGAGCCUCCAUGUAAGGAAGCGUCACACUGACACUGUGACCUGUUGGCCUGUGAGGAGCCUCCGUCACCAGGACUGGAUCCUCCUUCACUACUGCCUGUGUGUGUGGAGCUUCUUUCUGGGCUGUCUGGGUGGUAGAAGGCUCCAUCACUGCUGGUUCCACUGGGGUCAAACACAGAGUCAUGACUUGCUCUGUCACCUCCUCAGGUCUAGAUGCAGAUGCUGCAAUAAAAACGAACCAAAAGACUGAUCAGUCCAUUGAGACUUCCAAAACUAGAUGCUGCUUCUUAAACAUGCUCUGACUAAUAUUUUGAUUGAUACCAAUAUCAAUAAAGCUGCAUUUAAUUUCAAAACAUCACAAUUUUUGUUGUAUUUCUUGCAAGU